UACAGAGGUCUCAAGCGUUGUUCGGAUUCAUUGGGCGUAAAGGGUGCGUCGGUGGCGUCGUAAGUCAGGUGUGAAAUCUCGGGGCUCAACCCCGAAACUGCACUUGAUACUGCGAUGCUCGAGUACUGGAGAGGAGAUUGGAAUUUACGGUGUAGCAGUGAAAUGCGUAGAUAUCGUAAGGAAGACCAGUGGCGAAGGCGAAUCUCUGGACAGUUACUGACACUGAGGCACGAAGGCCAGGGGAGCAAACGGG
rnacentral:rRNA from 1 species